UCCGUAGGCGGGUGUCUAAGUCAGUGGUGAAAUCUUACAGCUCAACUGUAAAAUUGCCAUUGAUACUGGAUGUCUUGAAUUAGUGUGAAGUGGUUAGAAUGUGUAGUGUAGCGGUGAAAUGCAUAGAUAUUACACAGAAUACCAAUUGCGAAGGCAGAUCACUAACACUAUAUUGACGCUGAGGGACGAAAGCGUGGGGAGCGAACAGGAUUAGAUACCCUGGUAGUCC
rnacentral:rRNA from 1 species